AAUUUAAAGGAAAUUGGGACGAGUACCUCCCUCCGCUGGAAUUAUCAUACAAUAACAGCUAUCUCUAGUAUGUUGGAUGAAGUUUAUAAACACAAACUUCUAGGACUACAACUAAUCCAAUAGAUAAAGGAAACAAUUAAAUUGAUCCAAAGUGAUUGCUAGCAACCCUUGCUUGACAAUGGAAAUAUACAAACCAAACAAGAAAAGAUGCAUAUAUAAUCUGAAAUAGAACAACCAGUAUUGCAAAAAUUUCAUCCUGGCAAUUAAUAACAAGGUACAGCAAGGUCAAGGUCCGUGCAAGUCUGAGCAAUUUAUUCAUAGAAUACAAUUAAUGAAAGAAAAAGUUCUCAAGAGAAAUUUAGAGUCUGGAGUCCCAAUCUGUCAUGAUCUUUAAAUGGCCAUAAGAUCACCAAAACUCCGCAUGAAAAUGAUGGAGCCGGCAAACAGUCCAACUGCACGAAGCAAUUUCUGCAAAGAAGUAUAAUAUUUUCUUUAACUUAUCAUCGCCCAGAACACUAGCCGAUCC
rnacentral:lncRNA from 1 species